rnacentral:rRNA from 1 species
UACGGAGGGUGCAAGCGUUAAUCGGAAUUACUGGGCGUAAAGCGUGCGUAGGCGGUUCGUUAAGUCUGUUGUGAAAGCCCCGGGCUCAACCUGGGAAUGGCAAUGGAUACUGGCGAGCUAGAGUGUGUCAGAGGAUGGUGGAAUUCCCGGUGUAGUGGUGAAAUGCGUAGAGAUCGGGAGGAACACCGGUGGCGAAGGCGGGCCAGCUGGCGCUGACCUGACGCUGAGGCGCGAAGGCGUGGGGAGCGAACGGG